AGUACGCACGCAAGUGUGAAACUCAAAGGAAUUGACGGGGGCCCGCACAAGCGGUGGAGUAUGUGGUUUAAUUCGAUGCAACGCGAAGAACCUUACCAGGGUUUGACAUCCUGCGAACCUCUUAGAAAUUUGAGGGUGCCUUCGGGAAUGCAGUGACAGGUGGUGCAUGGCUGUCGUCAGCUCGUGUCGUGAGAUGUUGGGUUAAGUCCCGCAACGAGCGCAACCCACGUUUUUAGUUGCCAGCAUUUAGUUGGGCACUCUAGAAAGACCGCCGGUGAUAAACCGGAGGAAGGUGUGGAUGACGUCAAGUCAUCAUGCCCCUUACACCCUGGGCUACACACGUACUACAAUGCUACGGACAAAGGGCAGCAAACUCGCGAGAGCUAGCAAAUCCCAUAAACCGUGGCUCAGUUCAGAUCGUAGGCUGCAACUCGCCUACGUGAAGUAGGAAUCGCUAGUAAUCGCAGGUCAGCAUACUGCGGUGAAUACGUUCCCGGGCCUUGUACACACCGCCCGUCACACCAUGGAAGUUGGCCAUGCCCGAAGUCGUUACUCCAACC
rnacentral:rRNA from 1 species